UUAAACUAAUUAAAUCAAAAAAAUACUUAACUCUAGGUCAUUGUUUGAUAGGAAAAUUUAAGAAAAUUAUGGUUUUCAUAUUAUUGAUUAUAUUAAAAUGUUAUUAUAAAAUGGAUGGUACAAUCUGUAACAAUCGAGUUAAAUUCACAGAACAUUGUUAAGUAGUAAAAUUUUUAAUAUAGUUAGUUAUAUGUUUGUGAAAAAAGAUUCUAAUCUCUAUAUUACCCUUAUCAGUAAUUAAGUAUUUUUUAUUUUAUAAAAAUAAUAUUGAUCGUUCGUAUUUUUUUCGCGAUAUAAUAAACAUUUCAUCCUAAACCCUUUUAAAUCUUCUAAAAUCUAUCGUAAUUACUCAGCGUCUAAUGUUCAAUGUGUGCUCGUGACACACUAAUAUUAUUAUUAAAGACGUAAUUUGGACUCGACGACAUUGUUGUUUUGGGGCCUACCUGUUACAGAACAGAUCGAGCGGAGUGCGCGCGUCAGACACAGGAACAGGGAGAGGAUGCGUGUACGAGAUUCGAGGCUAUAUGAAAUGUUUUCAGCUUCAUUUCAACACGGCGCACAUAAGCCACGGACCGGUGUUCACGAGAUGGAUAGGUGGUAUAUGCUUGUGUUUGUAUUAAUUAUUAUUAUUAUUAUUAUUAUCGUCGUUUUAGUGAACUCGUUUUUUGUCAACCCGAAAAGCGCGAAGGCGGCAGCACUGCUGAUGCACGGUAAA